rnacentral:rRNA from 1 species
UCGCGGCCUAUCAGCUUGUUGGUGGGGUAACGGCCCACCAAGGCGACGACGGGUAGCCGGCCUGAGAGGGCGACCGGCCACACUGGGACUGAGACACGGCCCAGACUCCUACGGGAGGCAGCAGUGGGGAAUAUUGCACAAUGGGCGCAAGCCUGAUGCAGCGACGCCGCGUGAGGGAUGAAGGCCUUCGGGUUGUAAACCUCUUUCAGCAGGGAAGAAGCGCAAGUGACGGUACCUGCAGAAGAAGCGCCGGCUAACUACGUGCCAGCAGCCGCGGUAAUACGUAGGGCGCAAGCGUUGUCCGGAAUUAUUGGGCGUAAAGAGCUCGUAGGCGGUUUGUCGCGUCUGCUGUGAAAACUCGAGGCUCAACCUCGGGCUUGCAGUGGGUACGGGCAGACUAGAGUGCGGUAGGGGAGACUGGAAUUCCUGGUGUAGCGGUGGAAUGCGCAGAUAUCAGGAGGAACACCGAUGGCGAAGGCAGGUCUCUGGGCCGCAACUGACGCUGAGGAGCGAAAGCAUGGGGAGCGAACAGGAUUAGAUACCCUGGUAGUCCAUGCCGUAAACGUUGGGCACUAGGUGUGGGGCUCAUUCCACGAGUUCCGUGCCGCAGCAAACGCAUUAAGUGCCCCGCCUGGGGAGUACGGCCGCAAGGCUAAAACUCACAGAAAUUGACGGGGGCCCGCACAAGCGGCGGAGCAUGCGGAUUAAUUCGAUGCAACGCGAAGAACCUUACCAAGGCUUGACAUACACCGGAAACUUCCAGAGAUGGUUGCCCCGCAAGGUCGGUGUACAGGUGGUGCAUGGUUGUCGUCAGCUCGUGUCGUGAGAUGUUGGGUUAAGUCCCGCAACGAGCGCAACCCUCGUCCUAUGUUGCCAGCGGGUCAUGCCGGGGACUCAUAGGAGACUGCCGGGGUCAACUCGGAGGAAGGUGGGGAUGACGUCAAAUCAUCAUGCCCCUUAUGUCUUGGGCUUCACGCAUGCUACAAUGGCCGGUACAAAGGGCUGCGAUACCGCGAGGUGGAGCGAAUCCCAAAAAGCCGGUCUCAGUUCGGAUUGGGGUCUGCAACUCGACCCCAUGAAGUCGGAGUCGCUAGUAAUCGCAGAUCAGCAACGCUGCGGUGAAUACGUUCCCGGGCCUUGUACACACCGCCCGUCAAGUCACGAAAGUCGGUAACACCCGAAGCCGGUGGCCCAACUGUUCGCAGGGGGAGCCGUCGAAGGUGGGGCUGGA